rnacentral:rRNA from 1 species
GACGAACGCUGGCGGCGUGCUUAACACAUGCAAGUCGAACGGAAAGGCCCUGCUUUUGUGGGGUGCUCGAGUGGCGAACGGGUGAGUAACACGUGAGUAACCUGCCCUUGACUUUGGGAUAACUUCAGGAAACUGGGGCUAAUACCGGAUAGGAGCUCCUGCUGCAUGGUGGGGGUUGGAAAGUUUCGGCGGUUGGGGAUGGACUCGCGGCUUAUCAGCUGGUUGGUGGGGUAGGGGCUUACCAAGGCUUUGACGGGUAGCCGGCCCGGGGGGGGGACCGGCCCACUUGGGGUUGGAGAGAGCGCCCAGGCCCCCCGGGGGGGGAGGGGGGGGAAAUUGUGCAAAAGGGGCGAGACCCGGACGGAGAAACCCCGGGGGGGGUGACGGGCCUUUGGGUUGGAAAACCGCUUUCGCCGGUGAAGGAGGUUUGGGACGGGUAAUGGAGAAAAAAGACCGGCUAAAUUCGGG